GAUCCUCCUGCCUUGGCCUCUCAAAGUGCUAGGAUUAUAAGCGUGAGCCACUAUGCCCAGCCUUGUUAUUUUUUAAAAAAGGAUUUUAAAAAAUUAUAAAAAGGAUAAUAGGAAGCUGUUAGAGGGUGAUUUAAUCAGCAGUAACAUUCUCACUCAGGCUGUUGUGGGAGAACAAACUGUAGGGAGGGGAGAGUGGGGGCAGGAGAUGGUUGGGAAGCUAGUGCAGUCGGCCAGGCAAGGAGCAAUAGUGACUUGGCCUGGGUGGGUCACUUUGUGAUGAGGAUUAAUGAAAAGGCCAGACUGGGGUAUUUUUUGAAGCUAGAGUUUGAUAAUUGGUUGUGAGGGGUGGGAGAGAGAGAUGAAUCCUGGCCAUUUAACUGCAGUGAAAAGACUGGAGGAAUAGUUGGACAAGCGGAGGGACGGGGCAUACGAGUUCUGUUUUGAACAUGACAGGCCUCCGAGGUGUCCACUAGGCAGACGGGAUGUCAGGGCAGGGUUACCACCAUGUAGAUGGUCACUGCUAAGAGCUGGGCACUCCUCCAAACACAUACAUUAAAUCAUUUAGUCUUCUCAGUAACCUAUGAGGCGAGAGCUGUAGCUAUCCCUGUCCAUAGGGGGCGUAUCCUGUGUGCCAUUUCAGAUGCCCGCGGCCUCACCUCUUGUUCCAGCCAUUGCCCCAGUGACCAGUUUUGCACAGGUCUUGACCAGUGCCGUGUAAAUGUCGCCUGGCAGGGCCUCUCCACAUGCCUCUCGCCCAACACCAUGAUGGGGGGACACCCAUGGAACCUGCUUGGCAUUAACACAUGAGCCGCCCAGAAGUGAAGGGGAGCUAACAUUCCAUGGGAUGACUCGAGAGGAGCCAAUGGAUAACUGUCCCCCUUCUUCCAGUGAGUUCUGAAGUACGUUUCAUAAAGCUUCACAGAAAGACUGAGUGGUGUUCACUCAGAGAGAUGUUAACACACUCCCAUAUUGACUCCCCCCUUUCUCUGUUUCAUUCCUCCUCCCCCUCACCCCUGCUCCCUGGGAUCAUGUUCCCAAAUAAACUACUCAUGCUUAAGCCUUUGUCUCAGGCCCCAUGUAAGAUCUGAUCUUACAUGGAGAAUUUAACAGCAACAACAUCACACCAGGGGCAUGCUCACCAGGGGCAGAGCAGGGGUUCACACCCCGGCAAGCUUCUCUACUCGCUUCCAUGUUGCCUCUCAAAGAUCCCAACCUCUAGAGGACAUUUAAAGGCACAGGCCUAGAUGGAAUCUAACCAUCUAACCGGGAGAGACUGUAAAUAAGAAAAAAGUCCCCACACCAUGCUCACAUUUAGAGAUCAAGAAGAGGAGGAGCCAGCGAAGGAGCCAGAGAAAGAGCUGCCAUCCGGGUAGGAGGAAGCCAGACCAGUGUGGAGUCCUGGACUCCAAAGAAAGACAGCGUUGCAAGGAGGAGCGAGUGCCCUACUGUGCAAACGCUGCUGAGAAAUUGAGGAGGUGAGACCAGGAGACAGACCUUUUGGAUGCGCCAGUAGGAGGUCACUGGUGACUUGGACAAGGGCAGUUUCAAUGGAGUGACAGAAACAAAAACUUGGCUGGUGUAGGCUAAGAGGGAAUGGAGGUGAAGAUUCGGAGAAGUAGCCAGCAGGGACAACCACUUCAAGGAGGGGUGCGUAAAAGGGAGGAGGAAGUGGAGCAGAAGCUGAAGAGGGUGUAGGGUCAAGGAAGAGUUUGUUUUGAAAGUGAGAGAGAUCAUAGCGCAGUUAUGUGCCGAAGGGAAUGGUCUGGCAGAGAGAAGGAGCUGGAUAGUGCAGGAGGGAGAAAGGUGAUUUCAGGCAGUCUUGAGUAAGUGAAGGGAUAUGGUGCACAAAAUGAAGGGAUUGGCCAGGGAUGCAAGAGGAGGCCAUCCCUCCAUCUGUCCAUCCAUCUAUCCAUCUGUCCAUCUGUCUGUCCAUCCAUCCGUCUGUCCGUCCGUCCGUCUGUCCACCCAUCCAUCCAUCCAUCCAUCUGUCCGUCUGUCCAUCUAUCCUUCCGUCCAUCCAUCCAUCCAUCCAUCUAUCCAUGCAUGCAUCCAUUGUGAGGAAGAAAGGUAGCAGCGGGCAUAGAUGCAGGCACCUUGGGAGAUCUGAUGGUGAGAGGCACGUACGUUCCAGCAGAUGACAUUUAGUUUCUCAGCAAAAUAAGAAGCAAGAUCUUUAACUAACAGCGAGAAACUAAGGGAAGGUGUUGAGGGUUGGAGAAGAUGUGAAACACUUAUCUGGAGAGUGGCGCAGUGAAUUUAGUAGAGAAAUAUAGUAAGAUUACUGGGCAAGCUGAGCGCCCACUUGAAGUUUGUGGUCAGAAGCGUCAAGUGCGGCUAUUCAGUAUGACUGUGAGUUUCCCCGGCAAUGCUCAGCUACUCAGUGCAGGUGCAGGGUGUUGGGUUUAAGCAGGGUGGAGGCUGUGUCAGGAGAUUCCAAAUGAAGGGAAAAGAGCAAGAAAGGAGAGGGCUUCCACAAAUGGGUGAUUCUUGUCAAGGCCUACAGAAUUGAGCUGGAGAAGGGGGUUGAAGGCAGUGAAAAAGGACAAGUUCAAAGGCAGGGAGUUCCCAAAGGGGACACAUCAUUGAAUGGAGGUAAUAGAGUAGAUAAGCUGAGAGCCGAGGAAGGGGUGGUCAGGGAGCAGGGGGUUCAGAAGUGCUGAGGCAAAACCCUGGCCAUGGGAGUGGGAGGCCCAGGCAGCAGAACGAGAGGUGGAGAGUGAGGAGGCCAAAGACCAAGAGUGGGAGGUGCUGGGUGGACAUCUACAUGGAUGACCUUCCUUGUCCACCAUCUCUUAAACAGCUCCCCAUCCUGCCACUACCCCUUCAUCUGCCUUUUCCUUUCAUAGCCCCUCUGUCUAACAUUAUUUUACGUAGGACUGGUUCAUUGGUUAAUUAUCCUUGCUGCCAUCAGAAUGUAAGCAUCUGAGGGCAGGGACAUUUUCUCUCUGGUCUACACUUAUAAACUCUUUUCUAAGAACAUACCUGGCACAGAUUAGGUGCUCAGAAACAUGUGCUGGACAAAAGAAUGAAUUAAUGUUAAGGUCUAGGAAAAGCAUGGAGGAGUGGUGGUGGAGAGGAAGACCGUGGGCCAGGUACUAAAAUCUGUGAAUGAGCAGGAGUGGCCUAGAGUAUGGUAAAUACUAGAAGGGAUGGUGGAUGGUCUGGUCUGAUGGCAUAGCUGCAAAGGAGAUGCAGACUUAGGCUGAGGAGGAAGGGGGAGAAACCUACAGGUGGCCAUGAAAGCAGGGAGGACAACUCGCUGCCUCCAGGCAUACUGAUGUGGAAGAAGAAAACAGAGCCAAGACAGGAGGUGGCUGCAAGGAAGCUGUGUGUGGGGGUCAGGCAGGUUUGCAGUAGAACAGGAUGGUGAAAGGAAUGUUCAAAGGGAAAGUCGAGUGGAUGGGGAGAUUUUGCUGAUGACAAACCAUAAGUUCCCGAGAGCAGAGUGAAAGGAUCUGGGGGAUUGUGUCAGAUUAGGGGAAUAGAGCUACAUGGGGGUGAAAGUCUUGGGGGUGAAGGAUGAACAACAGUGUCAGGCUUCUGGAGGUGUCUAGGGACACAAGGCCACAGGGCAUGAUGGGCUCUCCUGAAGGUCUCUCUUGGGCAAGUGGGUACCCCUGCUCACGCCAGCUCCUCCUCCAGCCAGGGCCCACGGGCCAUGGACCACAGUGAGGCAGUGAUAUUGGCGUUGGAGGGGCCUUGCCAGACACUGAGUGUUCGGGGUGGGAGGAGAGGGCAGCUUUGGGUAUUGGAAGGAAAGUCGAGCAGGCACUCCGGAGACUAGAUUCUCAUCCAAAUCUUUCCUACAAACCAUGACGUAACAUUGGGCAAAAUGGUCAUGAUUUUCCUUAUCUAUAAAAUAGAGAGGAGAGGAGGUCUCUCUUAGCUGUGCAAAUCCUGGCCUCUGUCUCCUUCUUUCCCUGACUUCUUCUAGCUCCUGUCUCCUCAGCCCUCCCGACUUGUAGCUAAGCCCUGGCUUUGUAUUAACCACCCUCCUGCUGUCAGCAUCGCUGAGAGGCAUAGCCAAGGCCUGCCCUCUUCCUCCUCCCUGGCUCCAAAAUGCUCCAUGCACUGUCCCAUGCCACUCUGAUCCUGAGCAGCCAAGUGGGCAGAAUGACACUCCUUUGGGCGUGGAAGUGAACAUCAGCCAUGAGUAGGGAGAGGAAACUGCCCACAGAGAGGGCAGACUCCAUCAGGGGCAAGUGACAAAGCCACAGACUGGCAUGAAGAGGCUUCCCAGGCCCUCUGGAAGGCAGUGAAGCCAGCAGCCUGGCUCCUGGGAUGGGCUGUCCCCUAUUCAGCAGCUCCAUGGGCCUGGAAGUGGGCCCAGGGAGCCAGCCAGAAGGAGGCUGUGGCCAGAGGCUUGAUUUGCAGCCCAGGACUAGGACGCAGGGUUCUCAUCCAGGCUUCACCCACAGCAAAUGUGCGACUCUCCCUGGCCCUCUGGGUGGGGAUUAUAAUAACUACCUUGCUUACCCCAGUUGCUGGAGGCCAAUAUUCACUGAACAUUCAUCAUGAGUCAGGCAUUCAGUAAUCCUCACAAUGGCCCUAGAAAUUGGCCUGUACUAUUUUCAACCCUUAGGGAGGAGGUGACAGACACAUAGAACAUCUAAGUAACUUGCCUGACACUCCACAGCUUGUAAGUGGCAGGGCCAGGCUCUUAGCCCUAAACCAUACAUUAGAGAUUUAUUAUCAUUUAGGUCCCUCAACAAUCUUGUGAUGCAGGUAUUACCAUCCAUUUUACAAACAUGGCAAUGGCUCAGAAGUCUUCAGUUAUUUGCCCAGGGUCACUUGGCUGACUGUAGCAGAAUCAGGAUUUGAACCCAGGCCCAACUUCAAAGCCAGUCCUCUUCUCAUUGGGUUGCGCCCCCAGCAUUAGCACAGGGACAGUUCCUCAGGCUGACUGCCCAAGGCCCCAUCUGUGCAAACAGGAGAGGAAAUGGCAGCCUAACUCCAGGCAGGGCCCGGGCUCAGAAGGGGGUCUACAGGGCUGAAGAGGCAGCUGGCCAGAGAUUCCACAGGAAGCAUCUUGUUGACACAUCUUCAUCACUUUGGAAUUUGAGCAACAACAUUUACCCCUUCUGAAACUCACCCAGAGGAAGCGGAUUUUCUGACGCAUAUGAAGAGUGAGAACUGUCUACAUCUAAGUCUUCUUUGAGAACAAUACCAGCUGAGCGGCUAUUUACAUUCCAGCUUCUUUUGAGAAUCUCUGAAGAUGAUUAAGUCAUUGUCAGCUGGCCCAGAACCAUAUCCUGCUCCACAAGCCUCGUCCUUGGCAAGAAGUUGCACCUGCCCAGAGAGAAAACCUUUUGAAACUGGCACAAAGGCACUGGAGAGACUGGCAGGGCCCCCUACUUGACGAUCUGGCUCAUCCAUCUGCACACUGACCACGCUAAGAGCUGUCUGCAGUGAUGGAAACCUUCUCUAGCUGUGCUGUCCUCUAUAGUGGCACCAGCUGCCUGUGGCUACUGAGCACUUCAACUGUGGCUGCAGAGACUAUGUUAAAUUGUAUUUAAUCAUAAUUAAUUUAAUUGUAAACAACUACAUGUGGCUAGUGGUUUCUGUACUGGGCACUGCAGGUGCACAUUUCCUGCUGGCCAUGGACAGUAAGCUCCAUAAGAGACUAAUUGUGCCUGGUUUGCUUAUAGGCUUAUCCUCAGCACCUGCACCAGCCUAGAAUAUGAUUGGCACUCUAUUAAUUAAAAGUUCCCAGGUAAAUGAAUUAGUGGAUUCUCUGUUUCCUCCACUAUGCCACAACCUCCUUAAGGGCAGAGAUGGUGUCUUCAAAAAAAAAAAAUUCUGGUCAAAAACACAUAAGAUCUACCACCUUCACCAUUGUUGUGUCCAGUUCAGUAGUAUUAACUACACUUACAUUGUGAUACAACAAAAGAUUGUGUCUUUUUACAUUCUUAGGACCCAGCACAGUGUCUGGCACAUAAUCUUAGUAAACACUGGCAGAGCACAUGCCUUUGCCAAGGCCAGAACAGAGGUUCAGUGCCAUCCAUUACCACCCUUUCACACAUCCACUGGGGCUUUAAAAACAACCUGGAAUGAAAGCUGUUGAGUCUAGAGAAAUGGGCUACAAAGAAGGUUUACAAGAUAAUCUAUUAAGAAUAGGGAAUACAGGCCGGGCACGGUGGCUCACACCUGUAAUCCCAGCACUUUGGGAGGCUGAGGUGGGUGGAUCAUUUGAGGUCAGGAGUUCGAGACCAGCCUGGCCAAUGUGGUGAAAUCCUGUCUCUACCAAAAAUUAUCCAGGCAUGGUGGUGCGUGCCUGUAGUCCCAGCUACUUGGGAGGCUGAGGCAUGAGCAUCGCUUGAACCCGGGAGGCAGAGGUUGCAGUGAGCCGAGAUCGCGCCACUACACCCCAGCCUGGGUGACAGAGCAAGACUCCGUCUCAAAAAAAUAAAAAAACCUAAAAUAAAGCUUAAUACACAUGACAUAUGGAUUGGCAGUCACACAUAAAUAUGAUUGAUAAGGAUACAAAUAUUUGGAGGUGCUGCCUGACCAUCUGUUGCUGAUUAUGUGGAGAUCACUUGUCUAGGACCCUGAGAUAGACUGAUGUUUCUAACUCUGCCACACACGGUCUCUCCCACCCUCCAGACACUUUCUUCCUUCAGUUCAGGGAACCCUCAAUACACAGUAAGAAUGAAGAGGUUGCAGGUCUGAGCUUGAGGAGGACUGGACUAAAAGGAGUUUAGCCCUGCCAGGGCAUUCCGAGGACUGUGAAGAUCCGGAAUAUUGGCCACAGGCAUCUAUGUAUUUGAAUCAUAUCCAUUUUUGAGCUCACUCCUAGCAGAGGAGUCAAAACUUACGUUCUGGCCCCCAGGUACAUUUCCAGUCUCUUACUCAUAAAAUUGUGACAUACCCCCAGGGGUGCCCAAAGGGGUUUGUGAAUCAAGAUAGUUUGAGGAGAAUCGAUUUUCUGAUCCUCAGUUUUUCUAUGCUCUUUUUCCUAAAAGCGAUAUUCCUAAAAAGGCAUCCAAGACAAGGCAUCCCCUUUCCCAUUUGCUGGGGAAGACAGCUUUACAAGAGAAAGCUGCCCCUCUCACCCAUGUGACCCCCCACUCUGGGGCACUGCCCUAGGGGUAGAAAUCUCCAAGGCAUCAAACAAAGUGACUCCUGGGGGUCAAGUGACAGAGGAGCAAGUCUUUCUGCAAGUCAAGUGGUUUCCAGCUCUGCUUUCAGCAAAAUUGAAAGAGGCACUAAUCAAAUUGCCAGCGGAUCAUAAAAAAACAUUUUGAUAAUAAUGUUAUUAGGCAUAUAACUUGGAAGAAGUUCAAAGAAUUGAAUGGCAUCCUCAUAACAAACUCAUCGGCUUCCAUUUAUUUAUUUAUGUGGACAGUGUUUCUCAAUGUUUAAACCUACAAAAGACUAAACAUGGGAGUAAACUUCAUGUUGAACCUUGUGUGAGUCUAGCAAUAAGUCAUCCACAUAUACAUACACUAAUUGGGAAGAAAACCUGUCCCAACCCCAACUAUUUUAUUAAGAGAUGCAUUUCCAAUAAAAAUUUACCUUUUAUGUUUAAUAGUUGUUUAUCAAAUUUCGUAAUUAUUUACAUUGCUCUGAUCAAUUGGAUAUAAACUAUUCUAACACUAAACUCAUAACCAAAAAAUUAAUGCUCAGCUUUGGGAA
rnacentral:lncRNA from 1 species